rnacentral:rRNA from 1 species
CGGACGGGUGAGUAACACGUGGGUAACCUACCUAUAAGACUGGGACAACUUCGGGAAACCGGAGCUAAUACCGGAUAAGAUAUCGAACCGCAUGGUUCGAUAGUGAAAGAUGGUUUUGCUAUCACUUAUAGAUGGACCCGCGCCGUAUUAGCUAGUUGGUGAGGUAACGGCUCACCAAGGCAACGAUACGUAGCCGACCUGAGAGGGUGAUCGGCCACACUGGAACUGAGACACGGUCCAGACUCCUACGGAGGCAGCAGCA